AGGACGAACGCUGGCGGCGUGCUUAACACAUGCAAGUGGAGCGACGAACCAGGGCUUGCCCUGGGGCAGAGCCGCGAACGGGUGAGUAACACGUGGGUUACCUGCCUCGAUGACCGGGACAACCCGAGGAAAACUCGGGCUAAUACCGGAUGUGCCCGCAAGGGGAAAGGAAGCUUCGGCCUCCGCAUCGAGAUGGGCCCGCGGCCCAUUAGCUUGUUGGUGAGGUAAAGGCUCACCAAGGCUUCGAUGGGUAGCUGGUCUGAGAGGACGAUCAGCCACACUGGGACUGAGACACGGCCCAGACUCCUACGGGAGGCAGCAGUGGGGAAUCUUGCGCAAUGCGCGAAAGCGUGACGCAGCAACGCCGCGUGGGGGAAGAAGGCUUUCGGGUUGUAAACCCUUUCAGUUGGGACGAAGCUCCGCCGGUGAAUAGCCGGACGGAGUGACGGUACCUUCACAAGAAGCACCGGCUAACUACGUGCCAGCAGCCGCGGU
rnacentral:rRNA from 1 species